GAGGGUAUAGCUCAAGUGGCAGAGCACAUGCUUAGCAUGCACAAGGUCCUGGGUUCAACCCCUAGUACCUCCU
rnacentral:tRNA from 1 species